AAGCCACUUAGUAUUUUUUUUUUUCUAAACAGUAAGAAUAAAAAAAUUAGGCAUUUAAAAACUAAAAAAAAAUCAUAAAGGAAUAAAAGAAAAAAAAAAUGUUGAUAUUUUGUGUCAUCUCUCAUCGAAUGCAAAACUGGAGGACGCUUAAAGAAACUGGGCAAGCAGAACAUCAAAAAUGGAAGCAGAAGUCCCAUAUUCCUAUUUCAACCAUAGUUAAAUAACAUACUUAAUAAAAACAGUGCAUAGAUGUUUAACCUAACUAGAGGGAAAUAAAGAAAACCAUAAAAUAUUGGGUCUUUAGUGCCACCAGAAAGACUAAACAAAAUCCUGGAUAUGAAAAUACUUGGAUAUAUAAUAGCAAGCAUCCAAAGACAAAAGUGGCAUCCAUAGAAAUCUAUGAGAAUAAAAAUAAAUAUACCAUUUAGUGCCCAGUGCUGAUACCUAGGGCAGGUUAGAAUUAUAAAAAAAAAUGUUGUGGAUAUUUUGACUAAAGAUAUUCUGUGAUAAUCUGCUCUAAAACAAACAUUUCCUAAAUCCUAAACCUUUAGUAAGCAUGCACGACGAGCCUGUCACUUCAAAAACCUUAUUGGUGGUAUGGUGGAAAGCAACAUAUUAGCCUUAAAACAAACUUGCCCUAAAUAUUAUUAGAAAUGGUGAUUGCCACCAGAACCUCAAUGUUACCAUGAGGGACAUGGGACUGAUGAGUGAAUGAGUGAGUAUCCUAUCCUGCACUGAGAUAUGGCCUAUUAUAAUAAAUCACUGAAGAAACAUGGAUGUACUUAAAGGAGCACUCCAAACACUAUUUCAAGACACUGCCCUGGCACCUGUCAAUCCAAGUAAUGAAACUGUUUGGUAACAAAGCUUCGUUCUUAGAGGAGGUAGGGAGUGUUUCCUGACCGAACCCAGGAAACAAUUCAAAUGGUUAUUAAACUGACUUCUUACAUGGAGGGCUGCACUUCUGGUACCAAAACCACCGUAGAACGCUAUUGUGGUUCUGGUUCUUGGACGGUUCCUUCAAAUAUAUGGGGAAUGCCAAAUAGCAAAGCUCUUGGGAGAGAUCACAAAGAUAGUUCAGUGAGGCAUUGUGAUUCUGGUUUACCAGUCUACGGGCCAAUAAAUGAUAUAAGAAACAAUGAUAUAGAAAGCAGAAACACCUGUAUUUGGGAAGGUCAUUUCUUAAAGCCUCCAACCAAAUGUUCUCUAUUAAUUGUUUGACAUAUUUUUUUUUUAUUUUUUUUUGUUUUAUUGACUGUGUGCACCUGACUAAGAGCACUAGACUCUGGGAAACCCCGGCCACACAGGUACCGUUAUGUGAAAAAAAAGUAGUAAAAAAAUUAAACAAAAAGAGACGAAAACAAAUGAGGAACAACAUAACUUCUCACCUAAAUUACUUGCGAUAUUGUGAAAUUUUAAUAGACUGGUUAUGGAUUCUCUAUUUAUUCAGUUACUUAUAGAAGCCAAUGCCCACUCAUUAUCAUACUCUCUUCUGAUCUUUGCUAACCUUUCCUCUGCCCAACUACUUUUUUUCCAGCCAUGUUUUCAGAAAUGUACAUUCAGGUGGAUUUAUCAAAGUAUUCUGUUCUAAAAGGGAGUCUAACCUACUAAAGGUGUGGCAAUCACCAUGUAAAUCUGGAACCAGCAGGUAAACCCCAUUGUCGACUUCUUCCCAUUUAGAUUUUUUCAGAACUUUUUUUGAACAGAACACUUAAAUCUCCACCUUGUCGUUGAGCGCCAAUUGAAUUGUACUACUAUUUGCGAGGGUUAAUAGUUUUAAGGUUUUAAGGUUCACUUAUUCAAAUUAACUUAACUUGUCAAGGUUAAUCCACAACUUGCUGAGGAAUAAACAAUAUCUUAGUACCCUAAGGAUGUCACAGUUCCAAAGCCAGGCGACUUGGCCACUAUAGAGUUUUAUCUAUUCACUGUUCACUUUAUCAGUGUUGUGUUGGUCUACCAGGAACUGUUUAAAGUUCACACUGUCUGCUAAUUGACCCACUGGUGGAAUCAGUAUAUUCUACUUAAAAUAAAAUACUUAUGUAGAAUGUACACAAAAAAAUGACAAACAAAAUAAUGUUUCACCUGACAAACACAUGUUUCUUGUGUCUGGUCACGGUCCAUAAAAGCAGUCACAGAAGAGAUAAAAUAAUACAAUACAGAAGAUUGAAUUCCUCAAAUGCCUUGCGUCUCCUCUUUCCUGAUCCUUCUCUUAGAAUAUUUAAAGGAACACUAUAGUCAACAGAACAACUACAGCUUAUUGUAUUUGUUCUGGUGAGUAGGAUCAUUCCCUUCAGGCUUUUCGCUGAUAACUCCACUGGCCCCCUCCUCAGAUGGCUACUAGAGGUGCAUCCUGGAGCAGUGCUGCACACAGUGUUGACACAUUGUUGACACCAUUCAGUGUCUGCACUAUCUGCAUGCAGACACUAAACUUUCUUCAUUGAGAUGCAUUAAUUCAAAUCAUCUCUAUGAGGAGAUGCUAAUUGGCCAGGGCUGUGUUUGACUUGUGCUGGCUGUACCCCUGAACCUGCCUAUAGAACCCUCUUAUCAUUCAAUUAAUGAGAUGUUCUAUUUUGAGAUAAG
rnacentral:lncRNA from 1 species